AUUGAACGCUGGCGGCAUGCCUUACACAUGCAAGUCGAACGGCAGCACGGGAGCAAUCCUGGUGGCGAGUGGCGAGCGGGUGAGUAAAGUAUCGGAACGUGCCCAGUCGUGGGGGAUAACGUAGCGAAAGUUACGCUAAUACCGCAUACGAUCUAUGGAUGAAAGCGGGGGAUCGCAAGACCUCGCGCGCUUGGAGCGGCCGAUAUAAGAUUAGGUAGUUGGUGGGGUAAAGGCCCACCAAGCCGACGAUCUGUAGCUGGUCUGAGAGGACGGCCAGCCACACUGGGACUGGGACACGGCGCAGACUCCUACGGGAGGCAGCAGUUGGGAAUUUUGGACAAUGGGCGAAAGCCUGAUCCAGCCAUGCCGCGUGCAGGAUGAAGGCCUUCGGGUUGUAAACUGCUUUUGUACGGAACGAAAAGGUUUGGCCUAAUAAGCUGAGCUCAUGACGGUACCGUAAGAAUAAGCACCGGCUAACUACGUGCCAGCCGCCGCAGUAA
rnacentral:rRNA from 1 species